UACGGAGGGUGCAAGCGUUGUCCGGAAUCACUGGGCGUAAAGGGCGCGUAGGCGGCUCAUGAAGGCUGUGGUGAAAGUCCGGGGCUCAACCUCGGAUCGGCCGUGGCGACUCGUGGGCUGGAGCACUGUAGAGGCGGGUGGAAUUCCGGGUGUAGCGGUGGAAUGCGUAGAGAUGUGGAGGAACACCAGUGGCGAAGGCGGCUUUCUGGUCUGUAACUGACGCUGAGGCGCGAAAGCGUGGGGAGCAAACAGG
rnacentral:rRNA from 1 species